rnacentral:lncRNA from 1 species
GCGCGCGCCAGCCGGCCCCCGGCCCUGCGGUGCCGCCGGGAGGGUCCUCGCAACACAUGGCUGAUGUGGGACUGAGACCUGCCAGCUCAUUUCAUACGUGGGGCAGGGAAGGGCCAGCGCAGGGUACGGCCUUCCAGGCACGGCUCGCCUUGAGCCUGCUGCCCCGGGUGACAGGGAGGUCAAAGGCUCUGUCAUCACGGUGAGGCAGGCCACCCGGGGACAUCGGUGGUUCAGGUUAGGGAUCUGGGGGGGAAAGAGGUACCCCAGGGCUGGAUAAUGGCGAGAAGAUGGCCCUGUCCGUCUUGCGCGCCUAGGGCUCUCACUUUGUCUGCGUGCCUUCUCCCUACAGGUCCUAUAGCAAACAGAGGUCCGCAAUCGAGAGGGAGUAUGGGCAGGCACUGCAGAGACUGGCAAGCCAGUUCCAGAAGAGAGACUGGCAGCGGGCCCGCAGUGAAGCCAACGACUCGAGGUGGGCUGCAGGCGAGGUGGCUGGGGCAGGGUGGCGAGGGGCUGGGGGUAGCUGUGGCCCAGAGGUCGAAGGUGGCCAGGUACGUGGCCUCCCAGCCAGGAGCAUGGCUGGCAGGACAGGGGCUAAUUCAGACCAGGAGUCAAGUGCCUGGCAGUGCCUGAGAGGCUCUCCCUCCAGAGAUGCAGCCCUGGUGAGGCCAUCUCUAAGGAUGUGGUACCCAACUCGGAAGAGACUGCAGGGGUGGGGUGGCUAGUGAUGUCCUGAGCCGAGAGCUGG